GAUCAAGCUACUAAGGGCACGAGGUGAAUGCCUUGGCUCCAGAAGUCGAUGAAGGACGUAGUAAGUUGCGAUAAGCCACGAGGAGCGACAAACACGCGCUGAUCCGUGGAUUUCCGAAUGGGGAAACCCGGCCAAUCAUGGUCGAUGUCAUGUGAAUUCAUAGCAUGGCAUCGGGACACCCGCUGAAGUGAAACAUCUCAGUAAGCGGAGGAAAAGAAAUCAAAGAGAUUCCGUAAGUAGUGGCGAGCGAAAGCGGAACAGCCUAAACCGGGAGAGUUUACUCACCCGGGGUUGUGGGACCUUAAUAUGAGCGACCAAGAGAAGCUAAUCAGUUUGGAAAACUGAACCAGAGAGGGUGAUAGUCCCGUGAGUGCAAUUAAGGAAGUUCUAGAGGUAUCCCGAGUAAUGCGGGACACGUGAAACCCUGCAUGAAUCCAGGCGGACCACCGUCUAAGGCUAAAUACUAACUGGAGACCGAUAGUGAACAAGUACCGUGAGGGAAAGGUGAAAAGGACCCCUGCUAGGGGAGUUUAAAGUUCCUGAAACCCCGUGCCUACAAAGUGUGGGAGCAUCUUCGGAUGUGACCGCGUGCCUUUUGCAUAAUGAGUCAGCGAGUUAUUGUUCGUGGCAAGCCUAAGCACUAAUGGUGCGUAGGCGAAGCGAAAGCGAGUGUGAAUAGCGCGACCAGUCGCUGGCGAUAGACCCGAAGCGGAGGUGAUCUAACCAUGAGCAGGUUGAAGCUGAGGUAAAACUCAGUGAAGGACCGAACCGUUGUACGUUGAAAAGUGCUCGGAUGACCUGUGGUUAGGAGUGAAAGGCUAAUCAAACCCCGUAAUAGCUGGUUCUCUCCGAAAUAGCUUUAGGGCUAGCGUCAGGUAAUGAACUCCAGGGGGUAGAGCACUGAAUGGCUUAGGGCCCAUACCAGGGUACCAAAACCAAUCAAACUCCGAAUACCUGGAUACCAUAUCCCUGGCAGUCAGACUGCGGGUGAUAAGAUUCGUAGUCGAAAGGGAAACAGCCCAGAUCGCCGGCUAAGGUGCCUAAACUGAAUUAAGUGGAAAGGAUGUGAAUUCGCAUAGACAGUGAGGAUGUUGGCUUAGAGGCAGCCAUCAUUUAAACAUAGCGUAACAGCUGACU
rnacentral:rRNA from 1 species